GUGGGUUCCUAGGAGUGAGCAGUAAUGGAGAAACAAGCCGACAUUGAUGCCCAACCCACCAGCAAGAGAGGAGCCAUCUCUCCUCAGCCAUACUGGAAGCUGCUGCUUCUGUCGACAGGUUGCUUUGCUGGCCAAUUCUUCUCCUUAAAAGUCAAGACAAGUAAUUGCUAUAAGCUGUCACAGGCUGUUCUCCUCACCUACAUAUCGUAUUUGAACUGAGGAACAACUUUCAUCAUCUUACCAGCACAGGAAAAAUAAUAUGGAUGCUUCCAAAUGAUUAAAAAUCAGAAGAGGGAAUGCUGAGGACUGUAGCCAGCUCAAGAAAAUUCAGCUCUGUUUAAGCAAGGCUAUAUAUUUUUAUGUUCAAGAAGUUUUAACACUUCCCAGUCUCACCUCAGCAGAUUUCAUUUUCUUGGAAUAAAUUGUUAGCAUUUGUAUAAA